CCCAAGGCCUGAGAACAGCCAGGCUUUGACUUGGUGCCAUCUGCCAGUUUACUAAUGAAAGACUCGAUCCCCUCAUCCAUGUCAUCAGUGAAAAUACUGAACAGAACAGGCCCCAGCAGACCCCUGAGGGACACCACUGGUGACUGAUCCCCAGCUGGAUGCAGCACCAUUCACCACCACUCUCUGGGCCUGAUGAUCCAGCCAGUUCUUAACCCAGCAAAGAGGGUUCCUGUCCAAGCCACGGGCUGCAGCUUUUCCAGGAGUGUGCUGAGGGAGACACUGUCAAAGGCCUUGCUGAAGUCCAGCUCCUUCAAAAGCUCCUUGCCCAUCCAGGCCAGUGGUUUUCCUCGACAGCUCAUCUUUCAGCACAUAGGGACAGACAGUCUGUUCCUGAGCCUUCAAGAUCUCUGUUUGGAAGCACGCCCAUCCUUCCUGGACUCCUUUAUUUUUAAGGGCUGCUCCCAAGGUGUUCUCCAAAUAAGUCUCGAACAGGCCAAAUUCUUCCCUCUGGAAGUUCAGUGUAGAAGUUUUAUUGAUGCUCCUCAUUGUUUCACCAAAUAUUGAAAACUCUGUGAUUUCAUGAUUUACUGGUGAAAAGUUAGAAGCAAUCUAAACAGGGAGGCCCCAGCUGCUCUCCACAAGGCACCCAGAUGCAUUCCCGAGCUCCACACACUCCACUUUUCCACAGUCACAGCUGCAUGACUCAGUGCUGCGCAGCAGUUUUCAUUUCCAAGGCGUUUUGCAAACAUGAGCUGACUCAGCCGUGCCAGACCCCGUUCCUUGCCAAUUGGAUUGAAGGGGCCUCUGAGGAGAAGGGCUGCAGCUCAGCCCAGAGGAAUGCAACAACAUCCUGGGUGCUGACAACAACCUCACCUCAGAGUAUGGGACUUCUGGGCCUUGAGGGAAGACAAUAAAGGUGAUAGUUAAUGUCUCUUCAGUGUUAAAAUUUGUGACUACAAGAAAGAUGAUACACUGCUUCUAGAACUGUAAGUGAUCUUCCUCGUCCCACCUCUACCCCUAAGGCUGGAGGGAAUUAGAGCAGGGGCUGCAGCUUGCACAGAU